UACGGAGGAUGCGAGCGUUAUCCGGAUUUAUUGGGUUUAAAGGGUGCGUAGGCGGGUUAUCAAGUCAGCGGUAAAAUCGUGGAGCUCAACUCCAUCCAGCCGUUGAAACUGAUGAUCUUGAGUGGGCGAGAAGUAUGCGGAAUGCGUGGUGUAGCGGUGAAAUGCAUAGAUAUCACGCAGAACUCCGAUUGCGAAGGCAGCAUACCGGCGCCCGACUGACGCUGAAGCACGAAAGCGUGGGUAUCGAACAGG
rnacentral:rRNA from 1 species